GAUCAGAAUCCUCAUUGGAAGAAGCCUCGGCAAUUCUUUGUAUUUCUUGGAUGAAUUUUCUGUAUUAGCUGAAGGAGUCUCCUAGUUGCAUACCCUAUGACUGAGCAAUCCCCUGCUGUAUGCACACAAGAGCUGGAAGUAGAAGUCAAGAAGCUAAAGAGAGCAGUGGCUGCUGGUAAGAUGGCAAUGUUACAUUCAGGAGUAACUUGGUGCUUAGGACAAAAAUGAACACUUCCCUACAGAAGCAAGUAAAGGCAAGUGAUGAACCACCUGCUCCCGCCAUUGUGAAAACCGAUCACUGAGUG